AAUUCAAGGAUUUGUUCAAGACAAACAUCAGCGAAAGCAUUUACCAAAGAUAUUUCCCAUUAAUCAAGAACGAAAGUUAGGGGAUCGAAGAUGAUCAGAUACCGUCGUAGUCCUAACCAUAAACAAUACCAACCAAAAGAUAAGAGGUUGUAAAUACAAGAGAGAGAAGAGAUUUUCUCUCUUGAACCAACUCCUUUUGAAUUUUAGAGGGAAACCAUUGAGUAUUUGGGUUCUGGGGGGAGUACGGUAGCAAGGCUGAAACUUGAAGGAAUUGACGGAAGGGCACCACCAGGUGUGGAACCUGCGGCUUAAUUCGACCAACACGGGGAAAACUUACCAGGUCCGGACACAGGAAGGAUUGACAGAUUGAUAGCUCUUUCUUAAUUUCUGUGGGUGGUGGUAGCAUGGCCGUUCUUAGUUCGUGGAACUGAUCUGUCAGCUUAAUUGCGUUAACGAA
rnacentral:rRNA from 1 species